rnacentral:rRNA from 1 species
UACGUAGGUGGCAAGCGUUGUCCGGAAUUAUUGGGCGUAAAGCGCACGUAGGCGGUUCGUUAUGUCGGAUGUGAAAGCCCUUGGCUUAACCGAGGAAGUGCAUCCGAAACUGGCGAGCUAGAGUACGAAAAGAGGAUCGCGGAAUUCCCGGUGUAGAGGUGAAAUUCGUAGAUAUCGGGAGGAACACCGGUGGCGAAGGCGGCGAUCUGGGUCGAUACUGACGCUGAGGUGCGAAAGCGUGGGGAGCAAACAGG